UACAGAGGUCUCAAGCGUUGUUCGGAAUCACUGGGCGUAAAGGGUGUGUAGGCGGCGUGUUAAGUCAGAUGUGAAAGCCCAGGGCUCAACCUUGGAACUGCAUCCGAUACUGGCAUGCUAGAGAACUGGAGAGGAGUCUAGAAUUCACGGUGUAGCAGUGAAAUGCGUGGAUAUCGGGAAGAACACCGGUGGCGAAGGCGGCGCCCUGGUCCUUGACUGACGCUGAGGCGCGAAAGCGUGGGGAGCAAACAGG
rnacentral:rRNA from 1 species